rnacentral:lncRNA from 1 species
UGAUUGUAUUUAGGGUGCAGUUAAACCAGAGAGAAGGCCAGGAAGGACUCUAAGCUGUCCUUGACUGCUCCUCCCUGGUCUCCGACUCCCUCCCUUCCCUGAUCAGCAGCUGUCUGAACCUACCCCUGGGAACUCAGGGAAGGUGAUGGUAGCCGAACUAGGCCCCAUUUCCUAAGAACAAGAAAUGGGGAUAUAGAAAAGGUUUUGUGCCCAGGAACCCCACAGGGCCUUGUUUGGUUUCUCCAUGAACAGCUAAUCUUAAAUUUAAUUUCACUUAAAUUGAAAGGAAAAAAAAAAAAGAUCUCUGUACUGCCUAAUGAAAUAUCAAACAUAAAAACUCAAUGAUUGAGUUUAUCAGCUUAUACAUUUGCAACAAAGGAGUCUUCUGAGCAAAAGGGCUACUUCCAGAGCAUAAGAUAUUGGCUAAAGCACUGACAAGAGCAAAGUAAAAAUUUUCUGAGCAGAUGACUCAUCAGUGGCUAUUUGUUUUCAUAAGAGUUGUCAGGUUCAUGCUGCAGUGUGUUUUGUAUUAUAAAUAGGUACCUAUAGAAACACAUAUUGUUCUGCUGGAAAUAACACUAAAGAGAAUGCAAAGGGCAUGUCACUCCUUCUCUCUGCUUUCUUACUCUGGACUUGCAAAAUUAAUAGUUCAGUAGUGAAGAUAAGACCUAGCUCUCCCUUUCUGGUUCUUGGGUUCUUGAAAGUAAACUGCCCUUAAAAUGCCACACAAUGAGUCCAUUUUCUGGAACUAAAUCCUAAAGGGGUCCUGGAAACAUCUCUGGGGAUGGAGUUGUCAAGGGGAAGCUCCCCCUCCCCAGGGGAGAGAAUGCUGCCUACUGUCAAAGCUAAAACAGACCUCAAACUGUUAGAACCAGGCACAAAGGAGGUGCUAAACACACAUGAUAAUAACCCCAUUUGUCCCCAUUGUCUCAUCCUAACACUUCCCACAAAUUAGCCCAUUUUCUCCUAUAGUUGCCCUAUUAAUCACUUUUCACCUCUUUAUGACUUUUACAUGGGAGGUGUUAAAAUGAAUGGAAUGAUGUGCUCUAGGCUACCUCAGUGGGCCACAGAGCAAGAAUUCUAGAAUCUGAGUAAGCUGUAGUGGAGGACUCGUAGUCCUCCAGAUGUUGUUGUCUGUCCACCUCCUCCAUCCCCUGUGUAGCGCCCAGCACCCCACAGCCUGGGGACUCCUGCUUCAUCACUCCUCUACCUCCAUUGGGUGGCAGCCCAUUCCUCAAAAUAUGUCACAAUACAGAAGCCUAAGCUCUUUGUAAGUAGACUUAUAUAGGCUACUUUCUUAGCAGAUGACAAGGACCUAGUUUUCAAAGAAUUCUAUCUCCAGUGAGAAGCCUACAAUGCCAUUUGCAUAAAUAAAGGCGUGAGUAAUAUGCCCCAAGGAUGUCCAUGCAUCUUUCUGAUUUUCCCUGAAAUUCCUUAGUUUAAAUUAUGUAGAAAUAGCAGGUAAUCUACUUAAGAAAUUUGAUCCUCUAUUCAAAUUCAAUUUAAUUCAGCAAAAUUUUUAUUAGCACCUACUAUAUGCCACAUGCUGUUCAUGUGAAUGAGACACAGUCUCUACCCUUAAAACCAACAGCAGCUGGGUAUGGCGACAAGCACUGCACAGCACUGUGGUAUGUUCCACAACAAAGGGAAGCUCCAAGACUUUAGGCCACACAGACAAAGCACAGCUUUCUGUGCAGUGGGAAGACAACACAAAUGGCAUUUAAGACACAUUUUAAAGAUAAAUUCAUCAGAAAAAACAAAGCCAAAAGAAAGGAUAUAAAGAUGUUAUGUGCAAAGGUCCCUGACAAGAAAGAAUAGCAGCACAUUUAGGGAACUUAAAGUGGGACAAUGUGUCAGGUACCCUGUGCUCUUGGCACAAGCCUAAUAGGAGAUGUGAUUGGUUGGACUGUGUCUAGAUAAUGAUGGGUUUUACAUGCCAAAGAAGGAGUAUUGAUUUAAUCUUGAAGGUAGCUUUCUUUAAGCAUGUCAUAGAGUAAGACUGACUGGAUAGGAAAGAUAUUGAAAAAAGAGAAACUAUAAUAAUUUCUUCUAGCUAAAAACAACAACCCUUUAAUUUCCAAAGUAAAAAUAAAUAAAUGAAUAAACAAACAAGAGAUUAUAAAAUUGGUUAGUAUUUCAAUAUAAUACAAUUUUAACAUUAGGCAUGUAACUCAGCGUUUAAAAAUAAGAAUAAGCCGAAAGAAUUAAGCAUCCUGCUCACAUAAAUUGAUCAUUGAGAUAUUUCCCGCAUUAUCUCAAAAAUGCAAUUCCAACUUUAAAAGCAUUGAUGAGCAAGACAGAAUUUUAGUAAAUUCUCUUAUAAAGGUGGUAAAGGGUCAGGAAGAAGGAUGAGGGAUUAAAAUUGCACAAGCACAGGAAAAUUUCCUCCAAAUCCUCCAUGGACAUCACUCUUGUAAGAGAUCCUCUUCUCACAGCAGUCCUUUACAAAUUUAUCUCUUCUCCAUCUUUAACCUCCACCCUGCUCUCCACAAUUUCGCCCAUCCAUUCAUCCAUUCAGGCUUUUCAGUAUGAUUCCCUUCCAUAAAGCACUCUUGCCUUUUCUAAUGGAGAGGUCAGAUAACUCUCUGGUCUAAUUUCCUAUGAGCUCACCAUCACCAAGUGCCAGGGAGACUCUCAGCACAAGAGAUACUAUAUCUUCAGAAGACAGGAGAUGAGGACAGCAUCUGUGUCCUCCUGUGAAUGCUUUGACUUUCACAUUUUAUCCUGUCACCAAUGACAAAAAGUAGCAGGAGGAAACAGAGUUCUGUGUCCAUGCUGCUGACCAGGUGAGGAGGAGACUGCACAAAAUAAGCAUGCAUUCAUACUGCCCUUUGUAUUCCAAGGAGAGCCUGGAGGAGAUGUAGCUAGAGGGAAGCACGUGUAUAUGGAAGACAGGAGAUUCAAAUUCUGUUCCUUUUAAAAUUUUACAAUUUUAACUAUCUUGGCCUCAAUUUCUCUAUACCUUGUGGGUGACUAUAGAAUAUCUUUGAAGGGUUCUUCAUGGCAAAUCUGCAAUUUAAGCAUUGACUCUGGUGUCAGAACACCUAGUUUUGAGCUCAUAGUCCAUCACUAUUAAUUAGUUAUGUGACGCUGAACACCCUGUAAUUACUCAGGGUGAACCUUCUCCAUUGGAAUAUGGAGAGUCAAGCAUCCGCUCAAAAAGAAAACAAAAUAAUGACAUAACGUCCUAUCUAAGCAACACAGUCUAUUAUUCUAAGAAUCAAUUCUCUAGGAUUCCAACUUAAAAAAAAAUAGUGAUAAUCUUUUUACAAGACAGAUUUUGAAUCCAUCCCCCUAGUUACAUAUAGACAUUAACUGAAAAUAUUCUUGAUAGAUGAAUAACCAGUCCUAUUUAUAUUUUAUCUUACUGGGGAAAUAUUACUCUUUUGGCAAUAUAUUCUACUAAUAUUUAAAUCUAGAUCAUCUUUUUCUGUGCCUACUUGUGAUAGAGGACAACUAGCCAUCAUUGUCUGUAUAAUAACCUUUCAUAGAUGUGCUCAAUAUAAAUUACUUUAUUAUUAUUAUCACCAAGCAGCUUCUGUUAUAGACAUGGUACUUAAAACAACCGUUAUCCACAAUUCUCUUAUCCCUUCACACAGAGUCCAUUUACCGCCCUGCUGCCCUUCACUGCUGAUUACUUCAAAGGAAGAAGAGCGCAUAGAGGGGCUGUGUUCCUUGUUAAGAUUAAAUAAUUAACUGAGUAAAUAAAAUCAAGGCCCAAAAGAAAAGAACUAACUGUUCCUUAUAAAUGUUUACUUGGUUUGCCCUGAUGCCCAUGACUCCCAUGGGCAUCAUGGUUCUUUAUCAAAACCUGGAUGCUAUUUAUGAGAUAGUCAGAUAUUAAAUGGUGAAAGAAUAACAAAGAAGAGAACAAAACACUGAUCACAUAAGCCUUGGAGACUGAGAGACCAUUUUUCAGCAUCCUCUCCUGACCCCAAACAAAUAUAAUUGAAGAGAUUUUCUUAAUUCCCCUCCAGGUCUCGGUAUCAUUUGCGCAAUUUCACACACCAUGCCUUAGUGUGUGGUACAUUGCUCAUCCUCUUUCCCUGAUUAUCUACACAAUACUCUGUUUUCAAAGAUUUAAUCAGAAAAUUCUAUUAUUUCAGUUUACACUGACUUCUGCCUUCUAGCAAUUUUCAUCAUGCUCAAAAACAUAGCACUUAUUUAUAUAAUAUAGUUCAUUGAGCUUUGUCAGACACGUAAGUAAAUUUUAUUUCUAUAUAACCUUGCCUAAAAAUGCUUGAUUCAGGAAAGGAGAUCUUAUACUCAUUUUGUAUCUCCAAAGGUAUAAGGGCCCUAACCCAUGAUUGGCUGUAUAACCCGACACUCUACAUGUGUAUUUGUGGGUUGAUUUCAACCAGGAUGCUCUAUUGUCCAGCUGUCUAUCUGUAUAGCAUUCAGUGGAAUACUGCUAGCACUGUGAAGAUGGGCAUGAUCAAAGAGACCAAAAGUGAUUAGAAGAAAAUAUUGAUGGUGCCCCUGGAGUUGUACUAGCAAUCAUGCUGGCCAUCAUGUACAGACUACAUCAAGCAUUCUUUCAAAUUAUAGAUAAAUGAUAAAUAAUUAUGGUUUUAAAAAGUGACAAUACUUCAGUGUUCUUCUUUUCUUUAAAUACAGCAUCUCUGGCAUCAUUCAAAUUUUCCAGAAACUUAAAGUAUCUACAAUUAUGAAACUUGACCUAACUCAAAAUUCAAUUAAUCUAGGAAUACAUCCUAACACCCUCCCAGGAGCAAAGUUAAUGGGUUGUUUCUCUGUUCCCUUAACACUUUGAUAUUCUUCUCCUAUGAUAUUUUAUCAUCUUCCAUGCAAAACUAUAUUUGUUAGGACUAAAAAAACUUCUUAUAAAUGCAGCAUGUUCAAGCCCACUGGGAACUCUGCAGCACAGCCUGUGGAAAACAGUGGGGAGGCAGGGUCUUGUCUCAUCAAGCCUGGAAACUGACUCUAAGCAAUAUCUAGUCUGUAAGAGAAAAAUCAGCAAACACCAAGCAAGGCUGGAGCUACUCAGGCUUGAAUCCAACAUGCAGCAAUGUGCUGGAAAGAACCACCACUUCAGUUCCAUGGAGCAUCAGACAGAGGCACAGCAGUAGUAGUCACAGGAUCUUAGGCAGAGGAGGUACAAUUAACCAAAAUGUGCUGCUAAUGAAAAAAAGAAUUAAGAAUUCCAGGGGAGUUCCUGUCAUGGCGCAGUGGAAACAAAUCUGACUAGAAACCAUGAGGUUGCAGGUUUGAUCCCUGGCCUUGCUCAGUGGGUUAAAUAUCUGGCGUUAUCAUCAGCUGUGGUGUAGGUCACAGACACAGCUCGGAUCUAGCGUGGCUAUGGCUGUGGUAUAGGUCGGCAACUGAAGCUCCGAUUAGACCCCUAGCCUGGGAACCUCCAUAUGCUAGAGGUGUGGCC